GUGAGGAAUUUUGCGCAAUGGCCGCAAGGCUGACGCAGCAACGCCGCGUGGGUGAUGAAGGCCUUCGGGUCGUAAAGCCCUGUCAGGUGGGAAGAAAGGCUUGGAGAAGCAACGCUUUGAGUUUGACGGUACCACCAGAGGAAGCACCGGCUAACUCCGUGCCAGCAGCCGCGGUAAUACGGAGGGUGCGAGCGUUAUUCGGAAUUACUGGGCGUAAAGCGCGUGUAGGCGGGGAUGCAAGUCUGAUGUGAAAGCCCUGGGCUUAACCUGGGAAGUGCAUUGGAAACUGCAUUUCUUGAGUACUGGAGAGGAAGGGGGAAUUCCCGGUGUAGAGGUGAAAUUCGUAGAGAUCGGGAGGAAUACCAGUGGCGUAGGCGCCCUUCUGGACGGUAACUGACGCUGAGACGCGAAAGCGUGGGGAGCAAACAGGAUUAGAAACCCUUGUAGUCC
rnacentral:rRNA from 1 species